UGUGUACAGAAUGGUGAAUGUAGCGAUCAGGCUGGUUCCACCGGGCUAAGUAUCAGGAAUCAAGGCAGACUCUGGAGGCCCCCUGAACUGCCCAGGUCAACGGUCAGUGCCAAGUCCAUGAAGUGACCAGCUUUGUGUCUGGUUUCGGGUGCAACACCAACCGCAAGCCGACAAUCUUCACCCGCAUGUCUGCCUACAUCAGCUGGAUGAAUGGAAUCAUGGGUGGAAAAGGAGCAUGACCUUCGAGCAGACAGACAGUACCCAAGGGACUGUUCCGGAACCACCACCAACCCUGCUCAACCUCAUCCACAUGCUGCUGUAAAAGUUCAUUGAACUUAAACUUUAGAGUUAAACCUU